UACGAAGGGUGCAAACGUUGCUCGGAAUCACUGGGCGUAAAGCGCACGUAGGCGGCUUCUUAAGUCAGGGGUGAAAUCCUGGAGCUCAACUCCAGAACUGCCUUUGAUACUGAGAAGCUUGAGUCCGGGAGAGGUGGGUGGAACUGCGAGUGUAGAGGUGAAAUUCGUAGAUAUUCGCAAGAACACCAGUGGCGAAGGCGGCUCACUGGCCCGGUACUGACGCUGAGGUGCGAAAGCGUGGGGAGCAAACAGG
rnacentral:rRNA from 1 species